GUUUCGGCAACUUCGUGACACGAAUCACAAACGAACCGCUGGUGAACUAUACGAUCAUCGUUGAAUUACGUAUACAAUUCCCGGGAAAAUUGUCUUGUACUCAUCUCGAGCGUAACAUUACAUCGUGUCGACGUUUUCACACAUCUUCUGUUGAUGACAGAAGUUGCGAUGGGUUCGACACACGAAAAGUUCGACCAUGAUCGUCGCAUAUUUCAUUGCCACAGCUGAACGAACGACAAAGGAAAAGGAAAUUCGAUAAACAGCGAAGCGAAGAGGGAUAGUCACGUAUAACGUAAG